rnacentral:lncRNA from 1 species
UGACUUCUAACCUUUGUUAUUUCGUUAUUUCAUAUUGCAUUUUAGUUCAUUAUUUCAUAUUCCAUUCUUAGUACUAUGCUCGUAGUAGCCCGUGUACCUUGACUUGCGUGGGAUUUGUGAACAUUGUCUGUUGUCUGUUGUUGCUGUUGCUGUGGUCGCUUCUUAGUUUUGCUUCGGGAGUAGUCCUUUGAACGUGUGUGUACCUUGUAUCUCCUUGCUGCUGCUUUGAUAUUGCCACCGGGUGUAUCCUUAUAUUUUCCUAUUUUUUCGUGUAGUUGUGGCUGUGGGUGGUAAUGGGUGGUUAGGGUCAUGUCCGAGGGGGUUAGGGCGUGGGGCUGUGGCGGGGGCGGGAGAUGGGGAGAGAGCGGGAGUGGGUGGGAGGCCAAGGUUUGGCCGA